rnacentral:rRNA from 1 species
GAUGAACGCUGGCGGCGUGCCUAAUACAUGCAAGUCGAGCGAACAGACGAGGAGCUUGCUCCUCUGACGUUAGCGGCGGACGGGUGAGUAACACGUGGAUAACCUACCUAUAAGACUGGGAUAACUUCGGGAAACCGGAGCUAAUACCGGAUAAUAUAUUGAACCGCAUGGUUCAAUAGUGAAAGACGGUUUUGCUGUCACUUAUAGAUGGAUCCGCGCCGCAUUAGCUAGUUGGUAAGGUAACGGCUUACCAAGGCAACGAUGCGUAGCCGACCUGAGAGGAUGAUCGGCCACACUGGAACUGAGACACGGUCCAGACUCCUACGGGAGGCAGCAGUAGGGAAUCUUGGGCAAUGGGCGAAAGCUUGACGGAGCAACGCCGCGUGUGUGAUGAAGGUCUUCGGAUCGUAAAGCUCUGUUAUUGGGGAGGAACAAAUGUGUAAGUAACUAUGCACGUCUUGACGGUACCUAAUCAGAAAGCCACGGCUAACUACGUG